rnacentral:rRNA from 1 species
GGAAGGGCGUACGGCGAAUGCCUUGCCACUCGAAACUGAAGAAGGACGCGCCAAACUGCGAAAAGCUCCGUGAAGCUGUAAGGAAGCGAAGAAGCGGAGGUGUCCGAAUGGGGGAACCCGGCAGCAGACAUGAGCUGUCAUCUGCAGGUGAAUACAUGGCCUGCAAGAGAGGUACCCGGCGAACUGAAACAUCUAAGUAGCCGGAGGAAAAGAAAACAACAGUGAUUCCCUGAGUAGCGGCGAGCGAAAGGGGAGAAGCCCAAACCGGUUGAAGGACCGGGGUUGAAGGACCAUGACAUGGCAAGAACGAGGAUAGGAGAACGGGAUCGAAAGCCCGGCCGAAGAAGGUGAAAGCCCUGUAACCGAAAUCCUAGGGAAGCCUAAUGGGAUCCUGAGUACGGCGAGACACGAGAAAUCUUGUCGGAAGCAGGCGGGACCAUCCGCCAAGGCUAAAUAUAAACGAGUGAGCGAUAGUGAACCAGUACCGUGAGGGAAAGGUGAAAAGAACCGCGGGAGCGGAGUGAAAGAGAACCUGAAACCGUAUGCCUACAAGAAGUCAGAGCCCGUUAAGGGGUGAUGGCGUGCCUUUUGUAGAAUGAACCGGCGAGUUGCGACAGACUGCGAGGUUAAGGAGGAAAGACCGGAGCCGAAGCGAAAGCGAGUCUUAAUAGGGCGAAAGUAGGAUGUUGCAGACCCGAAACCGGGUGAUCUAGCCAUGAGCAGGUUGAAGUUGAGGUGAAACUCAAUGGAGGACCGAACCGACUACCGUUGAAAAGUUAGCGGAUGACUUGUGGCUAGGGGAGAAAUUCCAAUCGAACCCGGAGAUAGCUGGUUCUCCCCGAAAUAGCUUUAGGGCUAGCGUCGGAAAGAACCUUAGUGAAGGUAGAGCACUGAAUGUGUGAUGGCCCCAUCCCGGGGUACUGAAUACAAUCAAACUGCGAAUGUCAUUAAGGAUGUCCGGCAGUCAGACUGUGAGUGAUAAGGUCCAUGGUCAAGAGGGAAACAGCCCAGACCGCCAGUUAAGGUCCCAAAAUACAGGCUAAGUGGAAAAGGAUGUGGGGAUGCCCAGACAACUAGGAGGUUGGCUCAGAAGCAGCCAUCCUUUAAAGAGUGCGUAACAGCUCACUAGUCGAGUGACCCUGCGCCGAAAAUGUACCGGGGCUAAGCCUGAUACCGAAACUGCGGAUUGUAGGAAACUAUAGUGGUAGGGGAGCGUUGUAUACGAGCAGAAGCCGUACCGUGAGGAGCGGUGGAUUGUAUAGAAGUGAGAAUGCCGGUGUGAGUAGCGAGAUGUAGGUGAGAAUCCUACACACCGAAAGCCCAAGGAUUCCAGGGGAAGGUUCGUCCGCCCUGGGUAAGUCGGGACCUAACGCGAGGCCGAAAGGCGUAGUGGAUGGAAAGCAGGCGAAAGAUUCCUGCACCCGUAUAUGGAGCGAAGGAGUGACGGAGACGGAUAGUGUGACCCUCUUAAUGGAUUGAGGGCGAAGCGAAGCGGCUGGUUACCAGGCAAAUCCGGUAACCUUAAGGCUAGAGCGUGACAGGUAAGCGAAAUCUUAGGAAAGUAGCGAAGCACAUGAUGACGGCUUCCAGGAAAAGCUUCUGGCAAUGCAUAUGCGGCCCGUACCAAAACCGACACAGGUGGGCAGGGAGAGAAUCCCGAGGUGAGCGAGAGAACUGUUGCCAAGGAACUCGGCAAAAUGACUCCGUAAGUUAGCGAGAAGGAGUGCUUAAGCAAUUAAGCCGCAGUGAAGAGGCCCAAGCGACUGUUUAACUAAAACACAGCUCUCUGCGAAGUCGCAAGACGAAGUAUAGGGGGUGACACCUGCCCGGUGCUGGAAGGUUAAGAGGAUCUGUUAAGAGCGAUCUGAAGCAGUGAUCCGAAGCCCCAGUGAACGGCGGCCGUAACUAUAACGGUCCUAAGGUAGCGAAAUUCCUUGUCAGGUAAGUUCUGACCCGCACGAAAGGUGUAACGAUUUGGGCGCUGUCUCGGCAGCAGACUCGGUGAAAUCUUAGUACCUGUGAAAAUGCAGGUUACCCGCAACUAGACGGAAAGACCCCAUGGAGCUUUACUGCAGCCUGAUAUUGAAUUCUGGUCAUACAUGUACAGGAUAGGUGGGAGACAAAGAGACGUGCACGCCAGUGUACGAGGAGUCGACGUUGGGAUACCACUCUUGUGUGACCGGGGUUCUAACCUGGUAUCGAGAACAGGUACGGGGAGAGUGUCAGGUGGGCAGUUUGACUGGGGCGGUCGCCUCCCAAAGAGUAACGGAGGCGCCCAAAGGUACGCUCAGAUUGGAUGGAAACCAAUCGACGAGUGCAAUUGCAGAAGCGUGCUUGACUGUGAGACAGACAAGUCGAACAGGGACGAAAGUCGGGAAUAGUGAUCCGGCGGUGCCGAAUGGAAGGGCCGUCGCUCAACGGAUAAAAGCUACCCUGGGGAUAACAGGCUGAUCUCGCCCAAGAGUUCACAUCGACGGCGAGGUUUGGCACCUCGAUGUCGGCUCAUCGCAUCCUGGAGCUGGAUUCGGUUCCAAGGGUUGGGCUGUCCGCCCAUUAAAGCGGUACGCGAGCUGGGUUCAGAACGUCGUGAGACAGUUCGGUCCCUAUCUGUUGUGGGCGAAGGAGAUCUGCGGAGAGCUGUCCUCAGUACGAGAGGACCGGGAUGGACCUACCGCUGGUGCACCGGUUGUUCCGCCAGGGGCAUAGCCGGGUAGCUAAGUAGGGAAAGGAUAAGCGCUGAAAGCAUCUAAGCACGAAGCCUACUCCAAGAUGAGAUCUCCCAUUCGCAAGAAGUAAGACCCCUUAAAGACGAUAAGGUAGAUAGGCCAGGGAUGGAAGUGCAGUGAUGUACGGAGUUGACUGGUACUAAUCGGUCGAGGACUUAAUC